rnacentral:misc_RNA from 1 species
GUUUGAGCAAGUAGAUUCUACCUUUCAGAAAGGACUGGUUGAACAUUCAGCUGCAGCUCAGCAGCACUUCGACUCUUCACAUUCUCCAUUGGCACUUGCCUUGAGGGAUGCUAUAAAUUCAGCAUCAACAAUUGCACAGUCCCUGAGUGGAGAAUUGGCUGAAGGCCAAAGAAAACUGAUAGCCCUUGCGACCGCAGGAGCAAAUGCUAGUUCGAUAAAUCCUUUAGUUACCCAACUAAGCAAUGGGCCAUUG